GUAAGGAAUAUUGGUCAAUGGGCGCAAGCCUGAACCAGCCAUGCCGCGUGCAGGAAGACGGCCCUCCGGGUUGUAAACUGCUUUUGUACGGGAAUAAACCUCUCUACGUGUAGGGAGCUGAAUGUACCGUAAGAAUAAGGAUCGGCUAACUCCGUGCCAGCAGCCGCGGUAAUACGGAGGAUCCAAGCGUUAUCCGGAUUUAUUGGGUUUAAAGGGUGCGUAGGCGGCCUGUUAAGUCAGGGGUGAAAGACGGUGGCUCAACCAUCGCAGUGCCCUUGAUACUGAUGGGCUUGAAUAGACUAGAGGUAGGCGGAAUGUGACAAGUAGCGGUGAAAUGCAUAGAUAUGUCACAGAACACCGAUUGCGAAGGCAGCUUACUAUGGUCUGAUUGACGCUGAGGCACGAAAGCGUGGGGAUCGAACAGGAUUAGAUACCCGUGUAGUCC
rnacentral:rRNA from 1 species